rnacentral:rRNA from 12 species
GCGAGUGCCCAUUAGUGUUCGAGCAGGGCCGUGCCUGGUUAGUACUUGGAUGGGAGACCAAUUUAGAAGACCAGGGGCCGCUAGCC